CAAAAAGGCAGCUGGGAGAUGCAGAGAUGUGAUGGUUAUGAAAAUGAAUGGAAGCCAUGCGUCCAAAUCCCUUGGUCGUUCUUGAAGAUCUUGUCCCUAGAAGUUAUCUGACAGUCCAUUCAGAAUGGGGCGCUGCCUCUCACAUCUCCAGCAUGCGUCCAGGAGCAGCUGGGCAGUGAGAGCAGCUUAUGUGGGAUCCGAAGGGCAGCUGCGUCCCGCUCCCCUCUGCAGAGCUUUCUGCCGUGUGCAGCUCUUGGCAUCAGACAGACUGGCCCCGCCAUGCCCAGUUCUGUGGAGCUGGUUUGCUGAGCUUCUCACAGAUCUGUAACUUUCCACCCUGUGCUAAAUCUGCCCACAAAUAUUUUUUCAUUUUGUAAGGAAUCUAUUGGCAUUGGCCACUUCAGAAAUGCUGACCCAUUAAGUCUAAACAGGCGAGUUAGGGCAUGUGAAAUAUCAAUUGAUUAUAAAACCCAUAUUAAUUGACGUUUAGCAGCCCCACUAAUGGAGAGGAGCUCAUUACAUAGCAGUUAACCCUCAACGCAUAUAUAUUAAAUAAUCAAUUAGUAUUUAUUUAACAUACAAUCACCUCCCUAUUAGAGCUAAAUUAAAAGCCUCUUUAUGGAGGCCUAGCAGAAGGCGCUGCACUGUGCUAACCUGCAGCCAGGAACGUGCAUUAACAGCAUGGAUCUGUGUUACCUCCGCUGCCCCCGAGAUGCUGUCAGUGACAAACUGGAAGGAGGGCAUCGCUGUUACACCUGGCUGUGGGAAGGGGAACUCAGCCCUGGGCUGGGAUGGAGCAGAGAGAGGCACAGCUCAUGAUAAAUCUUCCAUAGAGCCGUGGCAAGAGCAAAGAGCUCCUGCAGCACAAUGUGUUGUGUAGGCAGAUCCUGCUCCUAGGAGGGGCCAGGCUAAGAGGGAAUUGGGGUAGAAGGGAAAGUCAUAAUUUCCCCUUUGAGGACAGAUUGGAAAGGUGCUGCUCGUCCCAGGCUGAGCAGGGUGUGCUCUCUGUGCGUUUGGCACAUCUCUCAGCUGCAAAAAGGAGGCUUUAACACCACAAUGCUUCUUAUAAUCAGAAUGUUCAAUUAAAACUCGCUCCAAAUGGUGCGAGGGGUGAGGCUGCAUAGGGAAAGGUGAGCCAAAUUUCUCAGGAUUAAACACAGUGCCAAAAGAGCACCCACAGCUCCCGGGCAGGGGAGGGUGCUCACAACGGGGAUGUGCUGUAGGUGUACCCAGAGAUGUGGGACACAGAAGGGAAAGGCCUGAAAGUAGAAGAAGAAAAGUAUUUUCAAGGGUAAAAAAAAAAAUACCAAAGAAAGGAGAACAAGGAGAGCUGUGGGCAGACAGCGAUGCUAUAUAGAAAGCAGAGGUGGCACGGUUGGGUAAUGGAAAUAGGGCAAACUGGGGAGCUGGGAAAGGAGGAGAACUAAAUUGCUCGAAAUGAGUCUCUCCUGUGUUAUGUCCUGAGCUGCCAUUUCCAUCUGUGUGGAGCGCUGAAUAUAAGCAAAUGGAUUUACACCAAGCAGAGAUAGGAGUAAGGGCCUGGCAAGGAAGAGUAAAGCACGGAGCAAUUCUCUUUUCCUUGGAGCCUCGCUUCUGGAAACAUUCCCAGUCCUUGGCGUAUUCAUCAGGAUCGUUACAAUUCUGCUGCCACAAAGAGGGAAGUAUCGUGUUCUCCUGUUAUUUAUUAGCAUAUGCUGGAGUGUGAGGGACCGUGGUGGGGAGGGGAGCCCUGCUGUGAGGGGCACGGGGUAAACACAGCCGAAAUGACAGCAGCAGGCCUCAUCACAGAGCGUUAGCAAUUCAAACAGCCACGUCAGGCAGAGAAUUUGAGAGACGGAUGUAACACAAGCAAAGGAAGAACGUGGCAGUUUGCAAACAGUGAGUUGGGUGAUGUUCUUGUAGGUGUGUUCAUUCUUGAAGCACCUCGAAAGAAAUGCAAAUGAAAUGUAUGGUGGGCAGGUCUCCGUGCAAGCAAGGCCUGUUGGAGCUUCAGGUCAGAGAUGCAGGAACUUCUUUAUCUCGUAGAGAGAGAUAACAAGAGGGCUUUUGGAAAAUGUGAGAAAACCAUUGGAGGUCUGGUUUUGCCUAAAGGCACAGUGGGAUGGAUGAUGGAGUCUGAGGAGUGGGGAGUUGUGUGCUAUUCUAUUAAUAAAAGCAGAAGGAAGUAGCAGAACAGAAGCAGUGGAGCAAAUCCCAAAGUCAGUGCCCCACCAAACAGGCAAAAAACUCACCAAAGAAAAGCUGAUGAAUUUCCAGGGUAGAAUUUGUUGGCAGACAGACUGGGCUGAUGUUUCCUAAAGCAACCAGCUUAAUCCCUCCAUUCUGCAAAGGCAAUGCCAAACAAAAGAAAGCUGCUCAACAUUUUCUAUUAGCCUGAAAUUUUGCUGCAGAGAAAAUGAUAACAUGGAAGGAAUUUCCUUGGGAAAGAAAAGAGAAAAGGGUGCUGUGGAAUUAUUUUAGUUCAGACGACUGCAAUGCUAAAAAUGAAUUCUGGGGCAGGACAAUAAACUCAUACACGAAUAUUAAUUCUGCUUGCAGUCACCCAAGGAGUUCAGUCACUGAAGCCCAUUCAUGGUCCGUGUGCUUCCACAGCCUCAGAGGGAUGCUCCAAAAAACUUUGAAAAGCCCAAUCUAAACACGUUUGUGCCCAACUUUCUAAAGAUCCUCCUGUGUGGCUGCAAAGAAUAAGUAAUUUCUAUCUGUAACACGUUAUGAAGUCCUCGGGAAGUAGGCACCGGGGCAGUGUAAAAUGGUUAUUUUAGCCUUAUCUUCUCUUACAAUUGCUUGUUCUCCAUCUCCGCGGAGGGCAGCUGGCAGCACAGCGCUGCGGUGAUUUAAGCCCACCAGGCUGCGGUGUUGGCUCUGUUGUGCAGCGCCUGAGCCGCUGUGCAGGACUUGGCCAUAAACCGCACAGCCCAAGGAAGAUGUUGCUUGUUUUCCAGGACAGGAUGAAAUCACCCCGUGCAUGUCCUCUGUCUGUCGCCUCUCCUGGCAGGGAAAACAUAAAUGCCUUUCCCAUCAUUUUAUUUAUUGCCUUUCUGUGUUUCCUGGGAAAAGCCUAUUUUUAUUUUCUAGCACUUUUGUGUGUGAGUCUGUGUGGGGUAAGCAUGUGUGUGUGUGUGUGUGUGUGUGUGUGUGUGUGUGUGUUUAGGAGGUUAAAAAAAAAUUCUUGCUGUCAGCAAGUGAUGUUACAAACCUGCUCUGACAAGGCUGGUUGUAUAUUUACAGUUGGUGAGAGCGAAGGCUUCAUCAAUCUUCACGCUUUGAAAGGGACAGGCCCGCUCCCAUGAGCACCUGCUCCGGGAGAACAGCUGAACUGUGACUUUCCAGGGAGCUAGCUGUAAAUUUUAGCCAUUCCCCCCGCAGCCCACGCAUGCUUGAGCUCUUUAACCUUCCCAGGCUGGCAGGAGUCCCAGCAAUCAGUUUAGUGCAAAGACUGGGGUUCUUUUUAAUUAACCUUUUGUUUCCCACUGCAGGUGUUUCGAAGUUUCUUAAUGUUAAAAAGGAAGAGGAAAGAAGCUGUUUGCAGAGGUGCAUCCACUCUCUUCCACUCUUGCUAUGCUCGGUGAUCAAAUGGGAGCGGUCUUUCUCAUGUUUCUGCUCCUCAUUUGCCUCCUGCAUGUAAGAUUAUAACAACAUCUGCUCCGAACCUCUGUAGGCAUCUACACAAAGUAUUCCCGUGAGUACAUUUCAGUUCUGUCCUGCAAGGUCACCCUUCCAUCCUUUGUGAGGCAUCUGCUUUUCCAACCCACUCCGCUUUCUCCAGGCAACGUUCUCCCGACGCCUGCCUCCCUCAGUGGGUUGAUGUUCUGUUUAAUUAGUUUGGCCUCUCGCACCCGGCCGGGGGAAGUUUGAUUAGAGACUCAGACAACACUUCUGUUCCUUCAGCCUCCGGUCCUCCCAGAGCACACACCCGAUGGAAGGAGAAAAAAAUGCCCUUUCCUACAACUCCAGCCAGCCCGUCCUGCUUGGACCAUCCACGCUGGUAUGGCACACAAGGCUGGUGAGAAGUCAGAGCUUAGAAAACGUCGUGGUAGAGCACAGGGACAGGGUUUACUUAUGUCGUGCUUGGGAAGCGUUGCAGUAUUUUUAUGCACUGAACAGGUUGCCCAAGGAGGCUGUGGAUGCCCCAUCCCUGCAGGCAUUCCAGGCCAGGCUGGAUGUGGCUCUGGGCAGCCUGGGCUGGUGGUUGGUGACCCUGCACAUAGCAAGGGGUUGGAACUAUUUGAUCAUCGUGGUCCUUUUCAACCUGGGCCAUUGUGUGAUUCUAUGAUUUUUUAAUGUAAAAGCAUUCGGUUUUCUUCAGCGCUUGCCCUGUUAAUAAAGAAAGCUGUAUCAUUUGGUAUGGCUAAGCAUUGACAAUAUUUGCUGCUUAAAGGCUUGCCAUGUGAAAACCCAGCUACCUAAAUCCCAAACACCUCAUUUCAGAAGGGAAAUAUUCCCGCACUGUAAGAAGAGAGUGCUGUUGUCCUAUCAGAGCAAUAAAAUCAGUUGAACAAGACUGUUGUACCUCCAAGAAAAUUCAUAUGUGGAAAUUUAUCACAAGGAAAAAAUACACUUAAGCCCCACUUAAAAUAAUAAAAUACAUCUUUUAGAGAAAGUUUCAGACUUUUCUGGGUAAGAGGAAUAAUGGUUUCUAUAAUUUAAUAGGUGCUAAAUUUGGUGAGGAGUGCCAGCAAAUCCAUUUCACAUAAUGAUAUUUUAUCUCCCCUGAAACGGUCAUUUUCACAAAUGCCUUUUUAUUGGUUCCCUUGUCCCACGAAGCACCCAGGCUGGAGCUGGGGUGUGUAUAGCAGUGGGGAUGGGUAGGGAAACCAGUCAAUAACGGGGACACAAAACAUGGGCAGGAUCUGCACGAGGGUUAAAUGUGCUCCCUGUAUAUAGAGAACAUUUCUACUUUGACCCGCAGGGCUCUGGCUUUUUAGCACUUGCUCCUGUAGGAGUUAAGGUGGGUGCAACUAUUAAAAACCAGAGAUGACCCACAUGGAACCGUGGGUGAGAAUAGCAUAGAAAAGACUGAGAAUAAAACAACCAACAGCCCUCCCCUUCUGCAGUUUGUGACCACUGUCCCUAAAAAGAAACUGAGUUUCAGGAAAGGGAAUAGAGAAUUUUUUUCUGGUUGGGAAAAAGAAGUGGAAAGUUCAAUGAAUAAUCAGAUCAGAAUAAAAUGGAAAGAAGGGGAAAUAUGUAAGGGUUGGUCUAAAGAGGCCAUGCAUGAAUUAAAGUGUGAUCCAUAGGCUUGGCGUGAAACGGUCAGCGAUAUUCACAAUCAGCACAAGGUCUUUGCUGCCACCCCCUUAUGUGCCAUAUACCUGUAAUUGCCAUAUACUUGUCAUUCUGUUGCAUAUAUUUUUUUUCAGUUCUGCCACCCUUGGAAUUCUCCCAUCGUAGGUGGUGUGUUGUCUGCCUGGGAGCUCCUGCAGCCCUGCCUGCGUGGAGGAACAAGGAUGUGAUAAUACCGGGCCCUGGAGCUGCAAAUGCAGAACGAACCAAGGAGUAAAAGAAUUGACAAGACAAGCAGUGGUGGGAAAUGGAGGGAAGACUGUGAAAAAGGUUAUAAUAAAUAAUAAGAAAUGUUGCAUGGGCCAAAGGAAUAAUAGAUCAGCGAUGGAAAGACUCUAAAAGCUGCUGAGGGUUAUUUAUUGAUGGACAUUGUUUAAAAGAAAAAAAAAUCAGUGACAGUUUUCCUUCGUGCUCACCAAGGCAGAUGGCGGGGCAGGUGCCAGAAUGAAAGAUAAAUUUCCUUUUGCAUAAAGAAGAAAUAUUGAAGGAAACUGAGCAGAGGUGAUGGAGAAAUUAGAGCGUUGAAAGACCCUGAAAGCACGCGGUCCAUGUCAGCCCUCUCUCAGGAUUUUCAGCUGAGUCAGCAGAAAGCAGGAAAAACUGUUGCGGGAAAUGAGAACCUCUUUGAAGACCAGUAAUGGAGAGGUUCCUGCAAGUGUCACGUCCAGAGGUCUGAGGAAAGCCUUCCAGGAAUUAAAGUUGGUGGUGCAGAAGGUACCUCUGCGUGGCUGAGUGGCCAACGUGCAUCGUAAUCUGGGACUGCAGUAGAGACAUAGUUAGAAGUUAUGAAUGUAAUGAAGGGAAACCAUCAAAGAUUCAGAAAUUGGAAGCUGGGCCAAUAAUGGGAGAGGAAAACGGACAGAGGGUUUCUGAGGAGUUUGUGCAAAUCAUGAGCCAGGGAGAGCCAAGAGAUACAACUUGUGCAGUGGCAGCAAAGGUUGGGUGUAACACGUUCAAAAAGCAUAACAUGGAGUGGAAGUGAUGAGUGUGGGACAUGGAAGCGCCUGGUGGAGCUCUGAGCUGGUGGUACACACAGAGCUGCUGUGAGGAUGCAUUGGUUUCUGUUGCCUUGGCUGUGAGCGGGGGGUUGGGGGGGUCUGUGGGCACCGGGGAAGUGGUUACAGAGUGAAUGUAACUGAGGUACAAGAGAGACAUGAGGAAAGGAACAAACCCUGCAGGAGCUGAGGGCACCUGGCCUGGCUGGGGAACCUGCAGGGUGGGUCCAUCCCAAGGCCAGCAGCUGUGCCUCUGCAACAUGUGCUAGGGAGUUCUAAUUAACAGCUCUCCAACCGUCCCUGCAGUGGGUGAGUGCAAAUUAGAUGGCUGUUGUAAACAUGGUGAAUCAGACUUGCCAACGGUUAACCAGGAGGAAAACCGUUUAUCUGAGAGUGGAGUUUGUUUUUGGGGGGGCAAAACAGCAUCACUGUGGGUCUGUCCCCAUGGCCGUUCAUCUGAUAUCCAAACAGCAUUAAAUCACUCAUCGUUUUGCUCACAGUCAGCAGGUAAUGGGGGCUGACAGGAAGGAUCUGUUACUGCGUGUCCUCACGUCUUUGUUUCAGGGAAGCCUCCUGCCCUCCUACAGCGGAGGAACGUGGCAGCCUGCACCCACGUUUGCGCACACAAACCCCACCCUGUCGGCUGAAACCCCUCAGAAAGUCCCAUCGGGUGAUGGCCGUGACGGGGUUGUAGGGGGCCUUCAUCAGCCCUCAGCUGGGGGUCUGCGGUGUAAGGAGGGAGCGAGGAGGGAGGUUCUCCAGCACAGCUGCACCGCAGAGCUCGCGCUGCCUGGGGGGGCCCGGCCCGCCUCGGUCCUCAAACAGAAGGAAGCGAGGAAAAGACGACGCCGCGCGUCCCCUGGAAGCAGGGCAUGCCCGCCGCUCCCCGACGGCCGCAGCAG
ensembl:lncRNA